GUGACUGCGUACCUUUUGUAUAAUGGGUCAGCGACUUAUAUUCUGUAGCAAGGUUAACCGAAUAGGGGAGCCGGAGGGAAACCGAGUCUUAAUUGGGCGUUAAGUUGCAGGGUAUAGACCCGAAACCCGGUGAUCUAGCCAUGGGCAGGUUGAAGGUUGGGUAACACUAACUGGAGGACCGAACCGACUAAUGUUGAAAAAUUAGCGGAUGACCUGUGGCUGGGGGUGAAAGGCCAAUCAAACCGGGAGAUAGCUGGUUCUCCCCGAAAGCUAUUUAGGUAGCGCCUCGUGAACUCAUCUCCGGGGGUAGAGCACUGUUUCGGCUAGGGGGCCAUCCCGGCUUACCAACCCGAUGCAAACUGCGAAUACCGGAGAAUGUUAUCACGGGAGACACACGGCGGGUGCUAACGUCCGUCGUGAAGAGGGAAACAACCCAGACCGCCAGCUAAGGUCCCAAAGUCAUGGUUAAGUGGGAAACGAUGUGGGAAGGCCCAGACAGCCAGGAUGUUGGCUUAGAAGCAGCCAUCAUUUAAAGAAAGCGUAAUAGCUCACUGGUCGAGUCGGCCUGCGCGGAAGAUGUAACGGGGCUAAACCAUGCACCGAAGCUGCGGCAGCGAACGUAUCACCCAAGACAACUUUACGGAGUUGACGAUUGACGGAGCGAAGCGACGUCAAAGCGUUCAUUAAAGUCGAGUUGGCUUAGGGAUACGUUCGUUGGGUAGGGGAGCGUUCUGUAAGCCUGUGAAGGUGGCCUGUGAGGGUUGCUGGAGGUAUCAGAAGUGCGAAUGCUGACAUAAGUAACGAUAAAGCGGGUGAAAAGCCCGCUCGCCGGAAGACCAAGGGUUCCUGUCCAACGUUAAUCGGGGCAGGGUGAGUCGACCCCUAAGGCGAGGCCGAAAGGCGUAGUCGAUGGGAAACGGGUUAAUAUUCCCGUACUUGGUGUUACUGCGAAGGGGGGACGGAGAAGGCUAUGUUGGCCGGGCGACGGUUGUCCCGGUUUAAGCGUGUAGG
rnacentral:rRNA from 1 species